rnacentral:rRNA from 1 species
AUUGAACGCUGGCGGCAGGCCUAACACAUGCAAGUCGAACGGUAACAGGAAGAAGCUUGCUUCUUUGCUGACGAGUGGCGGACGGGUGAGUAAUGUCUGGGAAACUGCCUGAUGGGGGGGGAUAACUACUGGAAACGGUAGCUAAUACCGCAUAACGUCGCAAGACCAAAGAGGGGGACCUUCGGGCCUCUUGCCAUCGGAUGUGCCCAGAUGGGAUUAGCUUGUUGGUGGGGUAACGGCUCACCAAGGCGACGAUCCCUAGCUGGUCUGAGAGGAUGACCAGCCACACUGGAACUGAGACACGGUCCAGACUCCUACGGGAGGCAGCAGUGGGGAAUAUUGCACAAUGGGCGCAAGCCUGAUGCAGCCAUGCCGCGUGUAUGAAGAAGGCCUUCGGGUUGUAAAGUACUUUCAGCGGGGAGGAAGGGAGUAAAGUUAAUACCUUUGCUCAUUGACGUUACCCGCAGAAGAAGCACCGGCUAACUCCGUG